CCUACGGGGGGCUGCAGUGGGGAAUAUUGGGCAAUGGGCGCAAGCCUGACCCAGCAACGCCGCGUGAAGGAAGAAGGCUUUCGGGUUGUAAACUUCUUUUAUGAGGGACGAAAGAAAUGACGGUACCUCAUGAAUAAGCCACGGCUAACUACGUGCCAGCAGCCGCGGUAAUACGUAGGUGGCAAGCGUUAUCCGGAUUUACUGGGUGUAAAGGGCGUGUAGGCGGGACUGCAAGUCAGAUGUGAAAAUUAUGGGCUCAACCCAUAAACUGCAUUUGAAACUGUAGUUCUUGAGUGAUGGAGAGGUCAUCGGAAUUCCUUGUGUAGCGGUGAAAUGCGUAGAUAUAAGGAAGAACACCAGUGGCGAAGGCGGAUGACUGGACGGCAACUGACGGUGAGGCGCGAAAGCGUGGGGAGCAAACAGGAUUAGAUACCCUAGUAGUC
rnacentral:rRNA from 1 species